CGUUUUCAUGCUCUCAUCCAAAUUAUGUAAACUGUAAAGUCUUGAUUUUUAUGCAUCUUUGGCUGAUAAUUUAUCAUCUUAACAUAAAACCUUUUUUAAAACGUGGCGUAGAGAUAUGGUACAGAUCUGUUGGGGAAAGGGCACAUGGAAAUGCAGUAACUACAAACAAAAGAUGCAGACUUCCGUGUUAGUCCCUGCUGCGGGGGCUGUGCGGUGCAGGAGCUCCCUCCACAGGCGCAGAGCUGGGAACAGAGAGCAGCUGACCGGCGUGAAUGCGUUCGUUGACGCGCAGCUGACAGCCAUCCUGCAGCAUGCGUAGAGCUAUCCGGGCGAUGUUCCGCGAAUCGUCCAGCCCAGAGUGAGGACGGCCUUCGUACUUCAGACCCAACUUCUCCAACAUGGUGCUCAGCUUCGUCUGUGUGCGGGGGACCUGAGGGAGGAAACGGCUGGUUGGUGUCGUUUCUGAUGGGGCUUAAAUUUACCAAUUGAAAAUUAAUUAAAUUAAUUGAUUGCCUUAUUAUUUUUUUGCCAAUUGUUAUCAGUGAAUCUAGUAACCGUGUGCAAACACACCCGUGAAAUAAAGAAAAGUCUACAAAAAUGGACAUUUCAACAUCUUAAAACUGUUGACACAAACCUUGUAGAAGUUCCCGUAUGAUUUUCUGAUGUUUAUCCACUUCUUUGCAAACUGAGGAUAUCUGAUCCUGCUGAGCCGACACUGGAUGUUGAGGAACUUGCUCAUAUCCCAGGCCCUAAAAACACAAAAGCAGUGUAAGAUUUUACUCAAGUGACGAGAAGGGGCACAAAUUAAGUUCAAAUUGUGCAAACAUACCCGUCGGUAAGGAUGGCGUAUUUGUACUUGGUCCCAAGCUCCCUCUCCUGAAGCCAAUCAACAACUCGCUGGAGGACGGCUGGAAACAGGUCUGCUUCAUCCACCAUUUUCUGCUCAAACAAACAACAAAUUCAUGUACACGAAAACUACCGAUCACGUUAUUAUGACACUGAUAUCAAAGUAGUAACUGAGUUCAACCAACCUGCGUUAUUCCGGUUAAUUUCACACAAAAGUCUGAAAGCUGUGGGUUCAACUCUGGUUUCACAUAUUCCUGAAAGGAAUCCACCUGCAGAAAAAUAAUAAAAUACAUUUUUGUUGGAACUUGGAUCAUAGCGUUUGUUUUCAUGUGUUAUUGUUUUGUUCAACAUGGCCUGAACUCUGGAAUAUUAA